UGUAUCAAGGGAGGAGAAUUCAGAUCUUCUGAAACAGGAAUUAAUUGAGAAAAGAUGAUUUGCUGUAUGCUUGUAACCCAUCAUGUGCCUCUGUAUCUCAGUUGAGAUGCUGCCAGACUUGGACAUGGAACCAACUUCCUUUUUCUGAUCCUGUUUACUUCAGUGUUGUUUUUAAUUCCCCAAACAUAGGAAACUGUAAAAAUGACUUUUCUCUUUCCUUAAUUGAUAGUCAUUCAAAUUGUUAGAAUGUUUUGAUGUGUGAUUCUAUUUGUAAGAUGAUUUUCAUUGAGAUAUAAUAUAUAUGCAUAUUUUUUGUUGUAGAGUUGGUAGUCAAGGAACAUAUCUGCAGGUAGAAAGUAAAUUAAAUUAAUCCUUUAGGCUAGUAGAGGAAAGUUUUUUUUUUUGUUUUUUUGGUUUUUGUUUGUUUGUUUGUUUUUGUUUUUAUUUUGUUUGCACACAGAGAAAGAGCUAUGCCAGUGCCUGGCAAAUACAGAAGUGGAUGUUCACAGUCUACUGGAUAGAACACAGGGCCCCUAAAGAAGAAGCUAGAGAAAAUACCCAAUGAGCUAAAGGGGGUCUCCAACCCUAUAGUAGGAUCAACAAUAUGAACUAACCAGUACCCCCCAGAACUGUGUCUCUAGUUGCAUAUGUAGCAGAGGAUGGCCUAUUCGGCCAUCAAUGGGAGUAGAGGUCCUUAUUCUUGCGAAGAUCAUAUGCCCCAGUACAGGGGAAUGCCAGGGCCAGGAAGCAGGAGUGAGUGGGCUGAGGAGCAGGGCAGGGGGAGGGUAUAGGGGGCUUUGGGGAUAGCAUUUGAAAUGUAAAUGAAGAAAAUAAUUUAAAAAAAGAAAAAAGAAUAGGCUAGAAACUAACUAUAAUACUACUGCAGCCAGGGCAAUGACAUUUAGGGAAUUUCCUUUGAGAGAAGUACUUUUGCAUUUCCAGUAAAUUUUUCUUUGUGCAGAUUUCCAGGGUGUCCUUUUACACCACCUGCAGGAGAAUAGUAAAGGCUGACAGGUGUGCAGUUCUGAGAGAUUAGUGUAAGCUGCUGUGAAUGUAAUUUAUUUCCAGUUGUGCAGCAUCUGCCAUGUAAAUAAGGGUCAUGCAAAUCAACGUCUUGCAAAUCAGGGCCAUGCAAAUCAAGUUCAUGUAAAUCAGGACAGUCUUGGUUGAUCAAAGCUCAAUUCUAGACCAAGUUUGGGUCACCAGUUGGCAGACUGCAGCUCUGUGGUGUCAGGUUCAGCAGUCCUUUGUUUGUACUCUGGGAUUCCUGGCCAUUCUUCUCACAAUUCUCUUAUGGCAGCCUGGUUCCACAGUCUGGUGUUUUAUUAAUGGCCUGCACUCCACAUUUAUAAGGUAAAAUAUGGUUGGUUGAUUUAUGUAUGCAAUGGAUAGUGAUGAACUUGGUAAUUAGCAAGGUAAUUAAGGGUAGCUCCUUAAUCUUUUACAGUGAGUACUGAUCCUUCUUUUGUAGCUAGUUUGAGAUGUAUAAUAUAUUAUUAAUUAUAUUCAUCUCAUUGCAUAAUAGAAUAGCAAGACUGUCUCCUUCUGUCCUUCUUAUCUGUCUAACACCAUCGAGCAAUAAUACUGUAACCAAUGGCUGACCUCUCCACCAACAAAUCAAUUCAAACCUCUCAGAGAUCAAUGUUUGAGGUUCCCCCCCACCCCCACCCCUGUCUUUCUGUUCCUGGCUUCUAUAACAGUUUCUUAGGUCUUUUCCCUGUUGUCACACCUGACAGGAAUUCAUGCUUAUUUAUUUAUGUAUUUAUUUAGUGUUUGACUAUGUCCUACUGUGUAGAUGUAUCACAUUUCCUUUAUCCAUCUAUUUGUGGAUUGCCGAUUCUGUAUUAUGCAUUGUAAUUACCAAUAACACUCAAAGUGGCAUAUGGAAUCAAUAUUGUCACCACCAAAAUAUCAAAAUGAUUUUUUACAGAAUUAAACAAACAUAAACUUGAAGGUUAAGGGAAGCUACAAAAGACUCUGAAUACCAAAGGAGAUCUUGAGACGUCUGAGCAAAGUAUAAAGGAUUCAUAGUAUCAGACUCACUUCAGCUUACUGCAAUGAUGCUAACUUAAGUCUGUGAAAUGUUCAAUCAUCUCCUUCCAUUUGCCCUUAUUCAAUUUUAUAUAAAAUUCUACUACAGCCACAAUUAUUUCUAGCUACCUUUGAGGUCCAACUCCCCCCACCCAAGUUGUAUUUCGCAAUGAAUCUCAAGCAUGUAUAUUCUAUUUCUAUAAUUUUUUAUAUAAGGUUACUCUGUGUAGAGCAGACCUGACUUUACUUCAUAAUUCUCCUAUCUCAGCCUCACAAUUUCUGGAAUUUCAGAUAUGAGCUACCCCACUCAGAAUAUCUAAUUGAAAAUAUGCAUAAACUAUGGCAACAUACCUACUUUGUAAUAACUAGCAAAAUCAAACCAAUCUCAGUAGGAAGAAGAAAUUAACUACUUAAUGUAUACUAGGCACUAGAAUCUACUAACUCAUGGUAUUAACAUUUAAUACAGCCACUGGAUAAGUGUGAUCACUAGCUCAGUCCUAUAAAGGCAAACUUAGGAGAGUCAUUCAAAGUCUCAGUAAGCCACACUAGUAAAUCAUAAUUAUUGAUCAUAAUAUUAAUAGU
rnacentral:lncRNA from 1 species